GUGGCUUCAGCCCAGCCCUCCUGUCCAGGCCUUGGUCUGAGCUCAGGCUGAGCCGCAGGACAACUCCCGCGCAGCACAGCUCGGGAUGGACGUACGUCCCCUUUUCCAUUGGAUUCAUUCAUUCUCGUUUAGGUUAACGGGGACGCGCACGAUGCGGUCUAGAAGGCAGACCCGGCAAAGCAGAUAUUUAUGAAGUGCAUAUUCAGCAUUGUUCUGGACACUGAAGAUAAAGCAGCAAAGUCCCUGCCGUCAGAGUCUACGUUCUAGUGUGGGAAACAGCAAUACGCAGGUGCCUGUUGGAUGUCAGAGUGGAUGAGUAGACCACUGGAUAGAGGAGCCUGGAGUUCAAGGAAGAGGUGUGGACUGGAGAUACAAAUGUAGGUGUCCCCAUUGUAGGGUGACCUGGAUAAGAUUAGAGCCUGGAUAAGAUUACUUAUAGAGUGAGUGUGGACCAAGAGUUGAGGACUGGAGCAAGGCCUAAUACCAGCAAGAAAGACUCAGUACCCCUUACUCUCUUCUUUCCAGCCCUCCCUUCCUAGCUUUUUUGUUUUUCUAUUCAUUGGAAAGGAUUUAGUGAGUGAUAGAGUAAAAAAAUGUUUUACACUUUAUUUUCUGGAUUCCCAGUCUCCAGUAUGUGCUUCUACAUUACUUUAAAGAAUUCACCAAAAGUAUAUUUGGACAAAUAUGAAUGCUGGUUGUGAUAUUUAGUAAUAUGGUCAGUGAAAUUCUUUUGCAAUUUCUAAGUAUCAUUACAAAGCUAAUAUAAGGAGCUAUUGAA